CUCGCAAGAUCAUUCAGGCUCUUUCUAUAAGGAGAUGGGAGACAGAAUUUUUGGAGCUGAUGGACUCGUGAGUACAGAAUUAUGUUCAAGAAUUACCCCACUACAAAAAAACUUAACAAAUCUCAUGUAAAGGAGACACAGUGUUAAAUAUUAUUUUUAUGCCUAAUCUUUUGGUACAGUUGAAAACAGUAUACCUUACAUUCUAGGCAGUAUCAUCCUAAUUAUAAAUCACAGUUUAUUUUUAAAAAUCCAUUAAAAGUAACAGUCACUUUCCUAUACACUUUGAAUUUCAACAAUAUUCGUGUAUUAACUGUGUAAUAUUAAAAUUAAUUUUAAUGUAAUUUUUUGAAAAUAGGAGAAAUAAAUUCAGUAAUUAUUAGGUAUUUUUUCAUUAGAGCACCUUUAUUUAAAAUCAUUCUAUGAAAGAUUCUUAUGUGUCUGCCUAAUAAACUAAGCAUGGAUGAACUUAAAUAAUUUCAUUAAGUCCAUGGGAAACCAAGAAAGAAGGUGAUAUUGUAUUAAUAUGAAUUAAAUCUUUUAGAUGAAUACAUAUCUAAAUGUUGGUAUGGAUCUUAGUGGUUAUGUGUUUUUCUUCCCCUUUCAUUUUCAUAAGAGUAGAAAGGGAAUUCUGUUUGAUGAUACCGUUUUGAUUUGCAGAAAUCCAAAAAGUCCAGAAUAAAGGACAAAUCAUAAUGAAUUCAAGGGGUUGCAAUCACUGCAAAAAAAUAGAGACUUGAUUCUAUUAACUGACAUUCAAUUAAGAGGAAACUAACAAGAAUCGUCUUAGGAGUGCUUCUGAGCUCUUUCCUUAAACACUACGGUUGUAACCUCAGGGUUUUGCAAAAGUGAAUAUUGUAGGUAUAGAAGUCUCAGAUAAUUUUCCACAAUUAUACUUUGCUAAAUGAGCAGAACUGCAGUUCAAGUAGGAAAUGUCUCUGACUUCCUGGUGUCUUAGAAGAAGCCUUUGGCCAUUUGGGUGUUUUAUGUAAAUGCAGUUUUUCCUGGAGCUUGAGGAACUGAUUGGAGCUAAGGAGAAAUCCUGGAAAGAGAACAGAAAAUUCCCGGGGGCCCCUUGAAACAAACAUCUCCAGGCUAAUUCUAAGUGUCAUCACUCUGUCCUUCUCUACCUGAGCACUUGAUCCUAAAAUAAUCCCUUUAGAAACAGUUAUUGAGAUCAAAAUAUGUGCCAGGAACUGUUCAAAAGUCUUCCAUGUACUGACUCAUUUUAUCUUCACAAGACAAGAACAUAUUUAUUGAGCCUACUACUACCCUCUACUACUUUUUUGCUUUAAUCCAAUCAUAAAAACUGUAAAUUUCUCAACCAAGGGCAGACAGAAAAUGGAUCAGAUUAGCAAUAUUUAAAUCUACUACAUGCUCUUUUAAAACUGAUAUUAUAUAAUUAACUUUGAAUUUAAUCAAACCAAAUUAGAAAGCAAUGUAUUUGCCAGUGAAACUCCGUGUAAUUCUGCUGGAGAAUAGGUUUUGCUAUUUUUAAGCUGUUCCAACUCAUUGACAACUCUGAGAGUAAGCAUUUUUGACCCAUCUUGGCCUCUUUCCUAUCUCUCAGCUUCUAUAAGGCAAUUUGGUGUCCUGGUGAAUCUUCUCCAACUAGAAGUCUAAAAUCUUGGUUCUAAUUCAGAAGUUUCACCUGCCCAAAUAUAAUUCUAAUGCAAGGUGAGAUAUUCUUUUAGAAAGCCAAGUUAUAACUAAUAUUGGAAGUGUCUGUUAUGCUGUGAGCUCUGGCUAGGAGGCAUGAGGUCUGAGUUCUAGGCCUGGAUCUAUUCCCAAUUAGUUCUGACACACUGGAUUCGUAAGUUUCAUUCACAGAGUCUCCAUUCCCUCACAUAUGGAAAAGUGGUUGGAAUAAAUGAUCUAUAAGAUUUCUUCUAGCUCUAAGAGUCUAAAGUCCAUGAAAUUAAAGAAAGAAAAUAUAUCUAGGGUUAAAAAAAAAAGACAGUAACAUUUUCCAAGCUUUCAUAUUUAGAUGAGUAGGAACAAGAGGAAUAAUUUAAUUUCUAAUAUUCUAAAACAUUUUCCAGGAUUUCCACAAUGUUAUUUUUUUUUUUUGCUAUUUUUUUUAAGACUUUAAGACUAAAAUGUCUCUCUCCUAAGAAAGAGAAAGAAAAAGAAAAUGAUCAAGGGCCAUUAUUUAUUGAGGUUCAAGAAACCAGUUAACACUGCUUUUGGACACUUAAAAAAAUAUAAAUUUUUGCAAGGAAGUAGACAUCCCUCAUUUUGGCUGGGGGAAAAUAUGUAGCUCUCUAUGUCUCAUGCAGGAUCUGGGCUAUUGCCUUUCACUGGAGAUGCGAAUAUUCCUAGAGGUGUCCAAGAGUGCACAGGUUCUCUGAGCCAUUGAAAAACGUGACACAUGUUCCUGGAAUGUCAGUUUUACUUAAUGAUUUCAAAGGAAAGUGUUGUCAUUUCUAUAUGAAAAUGAACAUAGGUUUCUUAUUUAGGAGAAUAAAGUCAAGUAUUGUCGAAGACACCUGGAUUCAGAUGUUACUCUUGCUACAGUAGAUACAUCAGGUGACUAAAGCCAGUCCAAAAGGUACUCAUUUCCUUCCCUCUGUCUCUAGGUUCUUUGAAGAAAAGUCAGAGAGGCAGUGUUCCUGAGUGUGUAAGCUAUUUAUUAACAUGGUUCUAGUGUAAAUACAAAGUAAAGCUUAAGUUUUAUAAUCAGAUGCAGUUUUAAGUAGUGAAAGAGCACUUUUUUAGAGUCAAACUCAGAUCAGACUGGUAGGUCUUCCACUAGCUUUGUAGAUGGGGCACAUUGCUUCAUGUUCAAGCACUUCAGUUUCCUCAGUUAAAGAGUGGUGAGACUUAAAAAAGUUGUCAUGAGAAUUAAAUUAGAAUAUUUAGACAAGGCACCUUGCUCCAUGCUUGCAUACUGUUAAGUCUACAAUAGUACUUUUCUCUUGUCCUCUUCUUGCUUGGGAUUUUGAUAGACCUCUUUUGGAUUAUCUGAAUUCUGGCAGGUAAAUUCAGGAUUUAUCCACUUAUAGGUUUUCAAAGGAAAAAUAUGAAAUGUUGAUUAAUUACAACAAUGAUGUCAAAUUUUUUGUUAAAGCAGUCAUCAUCUUUUGUGGCUAUGUUGCUUUUUACGUACAUAGCAAGGCUCUUCAUACAGACCAUGCAAAAUGCAUAUACAUAUACCCCCUCCCAUUAACAACCUUAAAGUACAAUGCUAGAAGAAAUUUGAAGAUAAUCAGAUCCAAGCAUUUCAGGGUAGAUACAUCUGUGAUCCGUAAAGUUUUCCCAAUUUGCCUGAUAUUGACCCAGAUCCCCUAACUAUUUUUUACAAUUGAGGUUGCUCCCUUGUAUUCCACCCUCCUUUCCUUCCCCUUUUCUUCACAAGUAUUUUCAAGCACUUAUUAGGAACCAGAUAUUGUAUUAAGUACUGGCAAUACAAAGAGACUAACAGCCAUUCUGGCCCUCAGAGAGUUCAUAGGUUAGUGAAGAUGAAAGGUGACAAAUAAAUAAGAAAUGAUAUUAUAUUAAAAUAAGUGCUAACAGAGCUAUGUACACAACAUUGGGGGCUACCUAAGGAAUGGUCCUUCCUCAUUCCUAAUGUGGACUUGCUACCUAGCUUCUUUCAGAUAUAAGUUGUACUAGAUUUUUCUCUGGGUCCAAAACUUCAUAACCUAUACCUGCUUCUUUCUCCAUGCUGCCAUUUAUUCAAAAACCUAUUGAAUAGAGAACUGUGCUAGUCCUUGCCAUUCAUGUAGAAAGCCUGUGUGCGUGUGUGUGCGUGUGUGUGUGUGUGUGUGUAUGUGUGUAUUUGUGUUGGAUGAACGUAGUCCAUUAAGAAGAACAAAGAUUGAAGAUACAGCAUUGCUUGGAUAAGAAAAGUUUGGGCAUGAAUGAUUUCAAAAUCAAAUUAAAAUAGAAGUCAUUUCUCAAAAGUGUGAGAGAAGACUAACCCAUGGAGAGAAGAGAUAAAGGAUGGUGUAAGCAAGGGAAGAAACCAUGUAAUUAGCUAUUUUAUAAGAGAAAAAUACUUUUUGAAUAAAAUCAGCAACAUUGGAUAAAGAUUACAGAUGAAAGAUAAUAGUUCUAAUUUUGGCUUAUUCAAAUUGGAAACAUAUUUGGAGCUUAUUCAGUUUUUAUCAAUUUUUAUUUUAUUUACAAAUUAAGUAUAGUAUUGCUGUUCACUUGGACUUGAGGCUUACACAAAAGUCAGUGAUCAACACUAAGCCCCUUAAUUAUUUCACUGGGCACAUACCAUGCUAUUUAGAAUGUGUCUACAAUCAGGUACUAUCAAACAUCCAGUGUGCCAGUGUGUACAAGGAUCACCUAAUCACAUGGGCAUGUAUCUGCAAAGGCAAUAACAAGGGGCUUCAGAUCCACAGCAGCUCUCAUGCUGACUCAUAAAGAGACAGCUGUCACGAUAGACUUGGCAGGGUCCUUCGAGCAGCCCCCAUGUGAGAACCAUGGAAGAAGUUGGCAUAGCACUGAUAUGGCUGGGAAGUGACUCAGAGGGAAAUCAGCCAUUUUCGUGAUAGUAUGGUGAUGCACUUUCUUUCUCUGGCCAGUUUCCAAAGAUCCUCAAUUAAGGAUAUCCCAGAAUGGUUCUAGAAUAUGCUCAGAUCUCACACUUUGCUUUGGAAGCCAUCAUCUCCCUCCUCGAGGGCCCAAUAAUUACAACAUUGUCUUCAGUGAUAGAAGGAAAUCAACCUUUCUCUGUACUUAAAUCUCAACAGGAAUAAGUAAAUGCCUGUUUCUGCUGCCGAGGAUGGAGGGUCAGAGAGGGUCCAGGUUUUAUGUUGAGCCUUUGAAGAAGCACGUCAUUUUUUUUUUCCCCAUUGGAAUGUAUUUUUCCAUUGGAAUGUGAAAUGUAAAUGACUAUUCAUUUGUAAAUUGUUUAAAAUACCAUUACAACCAAUUAUAGUUUUUUAAAAGUCACUUGCAAUAGGCACACAUAUUGAUGUCAUUCAUCUAAUUUCUUAUCUGUGAAAGUUACUAUUUCACUUCUAACUCCUUAGACUUAGUUAAGUCUCCUUUAUUUAUGCUUUCAGUAUUCCUCAUAAAAUUUCUUUAUAGCACAUAAAACAGAUUUUAAUUGCAUAGUUUUAUAAGUAUUUGCUGUCCUCCUCAUCAUAUUAUAAGCUUCAUAAGGGCAGAGUGCAUGCUUCUUUCACUUGCCUUAUAGCCUCAUCAUCUGUCCUAGUGCCUGGCACGUAGUAGAAAUACUACAAAUGAAUGAAUGUUAGGAUGGUUGGAGGAAAGGGUGUGUAUGAUGAAUAAAGGGCAGUGCUAGAUACUGAGGAUAUAUAUUAAGAUGAAGGCAAGAAGCUUAAUUUGCUACCUUCAGGAAGUUUACUGUCUGUGUUGGGCAGUGAAGGAACAAAGAAGGGAGCAUAAGUAACUGUAAUAUAUGACAUAAAUGAUGUAUCAUAAAUCACAGGUGAAAAUAAAGCAAUGUAAGGGAAGAUAUUACUUAUUUACAACACAAUUUUAAUGGGAAAAACGUAUAUCACAAGUUACAUUCCCAUAAUAUUCAUUCUUAUUCUCAACCUAGUGCAUAAAAUAUACUAUUAAGCAGAAUGCUCUUAACCUUUAAUGUCAAAAAUAAGUGUCUCGACAAAGCCAUUGGAUAAGAUGGUAUUGUAUCUAUCCCAACAGUAAGGCAUAGUAAUAAUUUAAAUGUCUUUUUAUUUUUAGGAAAAAUUAAAUUGUGUUCAGUGUAGACUCAAGUGGAUAUUAUUACCUGUAGAAUAUUUUUUAAAUGGCGCUGCAGCAUCUGGAAGGUCCUAGGCCAGGGAUUUAAUGUGAGCCACAACUGCAAACUAUGCCAUAGCUGCUGCAAUGCAGCCAGGUUGGGGAUGGAACCCAUGCCUCUGUAGAAACCUCUGCAGUCAGAUUCUUAACCCAUUGGUCCACAGUGGCAACUCCCUACCUGUAGAUCUUUUAUUUUUAUAUCAUUGUGAAAAGUUUGGUGGGCUUUGCAGCAGUGCGGAUUUGUGUUGAAACCUAGCCCUGCUAGACUGGUCUAGAGGAAGUUUUUAAUUUUUUUAGCUUUAUUUUCCUCAUCUAAAUAGGAGUGAAAACUAACUUUGUAGGAUUGCCAUAGUAUAGUAUUUUUUAUAUGUAACACUGUUUGGCACAAUCUAGAUGCUCCAUAAAUAUUAGCUUUUUUAUAAUGGCAAUUAUAUUAUUUUUAAACACCUACUAUUUGCACAGAGUUUUUAAUUGGUCCCUGAAUAUGUGCUAGAAAAUUGAAUAUGGCCCAGUGCUCUUGAAAGAGCUUACAGCCUAUUCUAAGAGAAGUUUUAGAGGGCAGAAAAGGAAGUGAAAUAAAUAACAAGAUGACAAGAAUAUUAUAGCAAUUUAAUAUAAUGCAACAUAUGUGAUUAGAACACUUUGGGGAUGAUCAUGGAGGAUUCCAUGAGGAAAGUGUACAUUGAAAGGGCUUAUUUAGAUGAAUAAAAUAAAGCUAAGAGAUGGAGUUCCUGUUGUGGCUCAGCAAGUUAAGAACCCAACAUAGUAUACAUGAAGAUGCAGGUUCAAUCCCUGCCUUUGCUUAGUGGGUUAGGAAUCCAGGGUUGGAGUUCUCAUCGUGGCACAGUGGUUAACGAAUCCGACUAGGAACCAUGAGGUUUUGGAUUUGAUCCCUGCCCUUGCUCAGUGGGUUAAGGAUCCAGCAUUGCCAUGAGCUGUGGUGUAGGUUGCAGACACGGCUCGGAUCCCACGUUGCUGUGGCUCUGGCAUAGCCUGGCGGCUACAGCUCCGAUUCAACCCCUAGCCAGGGAACCUCCAUAUGCCGCAGAAGGAAGUGGCUC
rnacentral:lncRNA from 1 species